GUCCAGACUCCUACGGGAGGCAGCAGUGGGGGAUAUUGCACAAUGGGGGAAACCCUGAUGCAGCGACGCCGCGUGGGUGAAGAAGCGCCUCGGCGCGUAAAGCCCUGUCAGCAGGGAAGAAAAUGACGGUACCUGAAGAAGAAGCCCCGGCUAACUACGUGCCAGCAGCCGCGGUAAUACGUAGGGGGCAAGCGUUAUCCGGAUUUACUGGGUGUAAAGGGGGCGCAGACGGCGAUGCAAGCCAGGAGUGAAAGCCCGGGGCCCAACCCCGGGACUGCAUUGGGAACUACCGGGCUGGAGUGCCGGAGAGGUAGGCGGAAUUCCUAGUGUAGCGGUGAAAUGCGUAGAUAUUAGGAGGAACACCAGUGGCGAAGGCGGCCUACUGGACGGUGACUGGCGCUGAGGCUCGAAAGCGUGGGGAGCAAACAGGAUUAGAUACCCCAGUA
rnacentral:rRNA from 1 species